AGUCGCAUAUGGCCUACCAUACAAACGUGUGGCCUGCCCGUGUGGAUCACACAACCAUGUCCCCCUGUUUUCUCCUGCAUCUGCGUUUAGCACACGGCCUAGAGCCUCACCAUAGCCUAGAUACACGGGCCGUGUGGAUCUAUCGUACACGACUUGGAGCCUCGCAAAUGGCCGUGUGGCUCUUGCACCUUCACCCCUUCGC
rnacentral:lncRNA from 1 species